rnacentral:rRNA from 1 species
UACGAAGGGGGCUAGCGUUGUUCGGAAUUACUGGGCGUAAAGCGCGCGCAGGCGGCUAUCCAAGUCAGUGGUGAAAGCCCGGAGCUCAACUCCGGAACUGCCAUUGAAACUGUUUAGCUUGAGGAUGAGAGAGGUGAGUGGAAUUCCCAGUGUAGAGGUGAAAUUCGUAGAUAUUGGGAAGAACACCGGUGGCGAAGGCGGUCUGCUGGGGUGAGGCUGACGCUGAGGCGCGACAGCGUGGGGAGCAAACAGG